rnacentral:rRNA from 1 species
UACGUAGGAUGCAAGCGUUAUCCGGAUUUACUGGGUGUAAAGGGAGCGCAGGCGGGACAUCAAGUUGGAUGUGAAAUGUCAAGGCUUAACCAUGGCACUGCAUCCAAAACUGUAGUUCUUGAGUGGAGUAGAGGUAAGCGGAAUUCCGAGUGUAGCGGUGAAAUGCGUAGAUAUUCGGAGGAACACCAGUGGCGAAGGCGGCUUACUGGGCUCUAACUGACGCUGAGGCUCGAAAGUGUGGGGAGCAAAC